rnacentral:rRNA from 1 species
AACGAACGCUGGCGGCGUGCCUAAUACAUGCAAGUUGAGCGGUAACACAUUGUGCUUGUGCCCUCUGGGUGAGCGGCUGACGGGUGAGUAACGCGUGGAUCGGCUUCUUUUUAUCGGGGGACAACAAUGUGGGGCGACUGCUACUACCACAUCAUACCUCUAACCACAGGUAUCAAGUUUUCAACAUGCAAUUCCCUCACUCAAGAAUGAUCCGCCGUUGUCUUAGCUAGUUGGCGGGGUAAAGGCCCACCAAGGCGACGAUACGUAGCUGGUCUGAGAGGAUGAUCAGCCACACUGGAACUGAGACACGGUCCAGACUCCUACGGGAGGCAGCAGUGGGGAAUAUUGGACAAUGGGCGCAAGCCUGAUCCAGCCAGACCGCGUGGGUGAAGAAGGCCUUCGGGUUGUAAAGCCCUUUUGUUGGGAAAGAAAAGCAGCAGGUUAAUACCCCGCUGUUCUGACGGUACCCAAAGAAUAAGCACCGGCUAACUUCGUG